ensembl:lncRNA
AUGAAAUGGAGGUUUUCUUUGGCGCACGGUUCUGGAGGCUGGCAGUCUAAGACAGAGCCACACCUGGGGGCGGGAGGCUUGAGCCGCACUGCGGAGUGGCGGGUGAGCGGCAGGGCAGGCGAGCGUGCAAAAGAAGCAACACACAGCAGGCCGGGCCUGCUUUAUGGCACCCCCCCCCCCCCCCCGCUGAGAAGGGCGCCACCUGCUCCCGUGAGCUUGGCGUGGACCCCCCCUUUGGAACUAAACGCCCUUCAGGCCCCACUGCCCCACACUGUUGCCAUGGCGAUCACAGUGCUGUGUGAGUUCUGCAGGGGACGAGGCGUCUUCAAGCCAGAGUGGGAGGGCUGGGGACCCCGGGGUGGGGGCCCUCCUCCGCCGCCCCUCCUCCUCUCCUGGAGAGAGAAGCGGCAGGGCCUCCAGGUCGAGUUGCCCCAUUUUCCUGAGAACAUCAGAGGCCACCCAGCAGGGCCCUGGCUCCUCCGACCAGGCGUGGCGGAGACCCCCGGAGGCUGCGUCGGGGCGUGUGGAUGCCUGGGAGUGCUCCCCUCCUCCAGGUUAAAGGCCAACAGAAUGCAACGGCCUGAAAACCACACACAGGCUGUGCAGCUCACAGCCACCGCAGGCUCCGUGGGAGCACAGCUGGACGGCGGAUCUGCAAGACUUCCUCUCGCCUCGCUCACCAGGCCACUGUGGGAGGAGCGCGCCAGCUGCCCCACGCAGGCUCAGCAGGAGGAGGCUUUGGUCCCAGAACCUGCUCCAACACACCAGGCAUUCGCCUCGAGCAUGGACUGCAGAGAGAGAGAGACUUGA